rnacentral:ncRNA from 1 species
CUGAUCGAGACGCUGGGCCAACGCCAGUGCAGCGCGCCCGGUUCCGGGGAGAAUGUCCCCGGAAGCGUCGAAGUGUCAG